AUUGAACGCUGGCGACAUGCCUUACACAUGCAAGUCGAACGGCAGCACGGGUGCUUGCACCUGGUGGCGAGUGGCGAACGGGUGAGUAAUACAUCGGAACAUGUCCUGUAGUGGGGGAUAGCCCGGCGAAAGCCGGAUUAAUACCGCAUACGAUCUACGGAUGAAAGCGGGGGACCUUCGGGCCUCGCGCUAUCGGGUUGGCCGAUGGCUGAUUAGCUAGUUGGUGGGGUAAAGGCCUACCAAGGCGACGAUCAGUAGCUGGUCUGAGAGGACGACCAGUCACACUGGGACUGAGACACGGCCCAGACUCCUACGGGAGGCAGCAGUGGGGAAUUUUGGACAAUGGGCGAAAGCCUGAUCCAGCAAUGCCGCGUGUGUGAAGAAGGCCCUCGGGUUGUAAAGCACUUUUGUCCGGAAAGAAAUCCUUGGCCCUAAUACGGUCGGGGGAUGACGGUACCGGAAGAAUAAGCACCGGCUAACUACGUG
rnacentral:rRNA from 1 species